rnacentral:rRNA from 1 species
CAGCAGCCGCCGCGGUAAUACGAAGGGGGCUAGCGUUGCUCGGAAUGACUGGGCGUAAAGGGCGCGUAGGCGGCGAUCAAAGUCAGGCGUGAAAUUCCUGGGCUCAACCUGGGGGCUGCGCUUGAUACUUGGUUGCUUGAGUGGGGAAGAGGGUCGUGGAAUUCCCAGUGUAGAGGUGAAAUUCGUAGAUAUUGGGAAGAACACCGGUGGCGAAGGCGGCGACCUGGUCCUUGACUGACGCUGAGGCGCGAAAGCGUGGGGAGCAAACAGGAUUAGAUACCCGUGUAGUCCCUGUCUCUUAUAC